AUUGAACGCUGGCGGCAUGCUUUACACAUGCAAGUCGAACGGUAACAGGGUGCUUGCACCGCUGACGAGUGGCGAACGGGUGAGUAAUGCGUCGGAACGUGCCGAGUAGUGGGGGAUAACGCAGCGAAAGUUGUGCUAAUACCGCAUACGUACUGAGGUAGAAAGUGGGGGACCUUCGGGCCUCACGCUAUUCGAGCGGCCGACGUCUGAUUAGCUAGUAGGUGAGGUAAAGGCUCACCUAGGCGACGAUCAGUAGCGGGUCGGAGAGGAUGAUCCGCCACACUGGGACUGAGACACGGCCCAGACUCCUACGGGAGGCAGCAGUGGGGAAUUUUGGACAAUGGGCGAAAGCCUGAUCCAGCCACGCCGCGUGUCUGAAGAAGGCCUUCGGGUUGUAAAGGACUUUUGUCAGGGAGGAAAUCCCUAGUGCUAAUAACACUGGGGGAUGACAGUACCUGAAGAAUAAGCACCGGCUAACUACGUGCCAGCAGCCGCCGCAG
rnacentral:rRNA from 1 species